GCCGCAGUAGACUAAUUGGCAGCGUCAUCAGACUCAGACUCUGAAGGUUGCGGGUUCGACUCCCGCCUGCGGUA
rnacentral:tRNA from 1 species